GACAGAGGUGGCAGGCGUUGUUCGGAUUUACUGGGCGUAAAGAGCGCGUAGGCGGUUGCAUAUGUCAGAUGUGAAAUCCCAGGGCUUAACCCUGGAAUGGCAUUUGAAACUGUGCGACUUGAGGACAGGAGGGGGAAGUGGAAUUCCCGGUGUAGCGGUGAAAUGCGUAGAGAUCGGGUGGAACACCAGGGGCGAAGGCGGCAUCCGUGGCUCGUGUACUGACGCUGAGGCGCGAGAGCGUGGGGAGCAAACCGG
rnacentral:rRNA from 1 species